rnacentral:misc_RNA from 1 species
UUUCCGUAGGUGAACCUGCGGAAGGAUCAUUACAAAUUAUGGCGAACUUCGCGUCUCGCGAGGUUUUGCGUCCAAACUUAUUUAAAACAUCCCACUCUAAAAAAAAAAAAAUUAUCUAAUGAUAAAUAAAAAGAUCACUUUCAACAACGGAUCUCUUGGUUCUC